rnacentral:hammerhead_ribozyme from 1 species
AUCCAGCUGACGAGUCCCAAACGGGACGAAACGUGCAUCCUGGAU